AGCGAUGCGCAGACAUCUUUGUUGUGGGCGAAACGAGGUGACCGCAGAGUCUGUCACCCAGGUUGGAGUGCGGUGGUGUGAUCUUGGCUCCCUGCAACCUCCACCUCCCAGGUUCAAGCGAUUCUCCUGCCUCAGCCUCCCAAGUAGCUGCGAUUACAGGCACCCACCACCAUGAAGAAUGGCAUUUUUAAAAGAUGGCUUUCUUAAAAAAGGAUACUCAGUUGCUCUUCUACUCAUACCAAGUCCUGCAGACACAUUCUGGGACUGCACCUUAUGAGUGCUGCUCACUCUGUUUCCUGCAGAAGACAUACAGAGCCGUUCGCAUAGAGGGCCAUGAUUUUGAUUCAGCAAUUCUUCAAACCACUGAUGCUGGUUGACCAUUUGACUUUGUUUUUGAAGUAUUUUUUACAUACAGUGUACAGAACAUUUCCGCUGGAUAUUUGGAUACUGAACAGGAGUAACAAGAGGAACAGCUCCUACCUCCCCCCUGCCCCUUCCCUCACAAGCCUGUGAGUCAGGGCAGGGGCAGCCACUGAAAGUAGCAGAGGCCUUCAUAAAGGAGAAGUUGUCAGGUAGACCUUUGGAUUAACUCCCCAAAAGCAGCCCCCUAGGAGACAGGCGACAGCACCGCAGUCAGGGGAUGCAGGCGUGGAGGCACUUCUCCAUGUUGCCAUCAUGUGAAGAAGGACAUGUUUGCUUCUGCUUCUGCCACGAGUGUUGAAGGCAAUGGUGAUGAAAGUAAAUAUUUAAAAACACUACCAUAGCUGUCCCAAAUUUCAGAAAAACAAGGUACCACUGGAACCAUUUAAUUUUGUUGGAACACAGAAUGACCAUCUUGUGAUCAGUUUUCUGCAUCUUUAAAAUACCUGGAAGGUCAUCUUUAAAUAGUACAAUCUGAUAAAAGUUUAAUACUUAGUGUAGACUUAUAUGAAUACUUCUACAUUCAUACAUUUUUGUAUACUUAUACAUUUUCAUACUCAAUUAAUGCUUAAUUCAAAAAAUAUCUGAGUACCUGCAGUGUUCCCCAUGCUACAUACUGGGCUUAAACAGCCAAAAAGACACAGUCUUUGACCUCAAAAUACUUUGAUUCUUGUAAGAAAAACUGACAAAGACAAAGAGAAGGCAAUGUGAAAACUUCUACAGUUGGGAUAACCUUGGAGGUUACAGGAUGUGGACUCACUGAAAGCUUUCUGCUGGACUUGAACUUGAAGCUGAAGUCUGAAGGACAGAUGGGUGUUGCUUAGCGAAGGGAAAGUAGGAAGCAAAGACCCCUGGACAGAGUGUAGCAGGCACAGAGGGAGCAUGACACCUUCGGGAGAGAGCCGCAAGCACCUGGGCCCAGAUCCCAGCUUUAGCUUCAUUAGCCCUGUGAACUCUGUAUGUCAGCCUUGACAUAGAAAAAAAGAGGAUACUAAACCUCCAUCUUAAAAGAGACUUGGAAGAAGCUGGGAUUAUAGGCACACCACCACACCUGGCCCCAGAAAAGGGAAUCCUUGACCUGCAAGAAUCGAGGAAUAUUGUUUCUGACAUGCUCAGUGGACCUACUGCUGGUGUUCUUAACCAUUUCCUUCCUAAGUGGAACUUCUUUUGAGGUUAAUGUUUAUAUACAAUUACUUUAACAUUGGAUUUGGGAAAUGGAACAACAUACUGCGGAUCUUUCUGCUACCGAUGAAAGAAGAAGCCAGCAUGCUCGUUCCUGUGCAUGCUGGUGAAACAGACGUGGCCUGCCCUGCCUUUCUCCAAUCUCUCUCCCGCAGCCCAGCCCAGCCCAGCCUGGUUUAAUAGCAGGGGGAGUUGGCACCGUUCACAGCUGGUUAACACCCUACUGAGCAGGUUUUGAAUGCAGAAAGACUGAGAAAACUUCACUAUUCAUGUAAGAAAAAUAGGCUCCACGGGAUCCCUUGAUCAGGAUGGUGGUAGAGGAAAUGAACUUCCAUCAGCACUGUAAUGAUCUCA
rnacentral:lncRNA from 1 species